AUUGAACGCUGGCGGCAGGCUUAACACAUGCAAGUCGAACGAGUGGCGGACGGGUGAGUAAUGCUUGGGAAUCUAGCUUAUGGAGGGGGAUAACUACGUGAAACUGUAGCUAAUACCGCGUACCAUCGGAUGCGCCCAAGGGGGAUUAGGUAGUUGGUGAGGUAAAGGCGCACAAAGCCGACGAUCUCUCGCUGGUCUGAGAGGAUGACCAGCAACACGGGGACUGAGACACGGCCCAGACUCUGCCGGGAGGCAGCAGUGGUGAAUAUUGCGCAAUGGGGGCAACCUGACGCAGCCAUGCCGCGUGAAUGAAGAAGGCCUUAGGGUUGUAAAGUGCUUUCGGUAGCGAGGCGUUAACUACAGAAGAAGCACCUGCUAACUCCGUGCCAGCAGCCGCGGUAAUAC
rnacentral:rRNA from 1 species